CCUACGGGAGACAGCAGUGGGGAAUAUUGGGCAAUGGGCGCAAGCCUGAUCCAGCAACGCCGCGUGAAGGAAGAAGGCCUUCGGGUUGUAAACUUCUUUUCUGAGGGACGAAGAAAGUGACGGUACCUCAGGAAUAAGCCACGGCUAACUACGUGACAGCAGCCGCGGUAAUACGUGGGUGGACAGCGUUAUCCGGAUUUAUUGGGUGUAAAGGGCGUGUAGGCGGGAAAGCAAGUCCGCUGUGAAAACUCAGGGCUCAACCCUGAGCCUGCAUUUGAAACUGUUUUUCUUGAGUGCUGGAGAGGCAAGCGGAAUUCCUUGUGUAGCGGUGAAAUGCGUAGAUAUACGGAGGAACACCAGUGGCGAAGGCGGAUUGCUGGACAGUAACUGACGCUGAGGCGCGAAAGCGUGGGGAGCAAACAGGAUUAGAUACCCUAGUAGUC
rnacentral:rRNA from 1 species